GAUGAACGCUGGCGGCGUGCCUAAUACAUGCAAGUCGAGCGAACAGACGAGGAGCUUGCUCCUCUGACGUUAGCGGCGGACGGGUGAGUAACACGUGGAUAACCUACCUAUAAGACUGGGAUAACUUCGGGAAACCGGAGCUAAUACCGGAUAAUAUAUUGAACCGCAUGGUUCAAUAGUGAAAGACGGUUUUGCUGUCACUUAUAGAUGGAUCCGCGCCGCAUUAGCUAGUUGGUAAGGUAACGGCUUACCAAGGCAACGAUGCGUAGCCGACCUGAGAGGGUGAUCUGCCACACUGGAACUGAGACACGGUCCAGACUCCUACGGGAGGCAGCAGUAGGGAAUCUUCCGCAAUGGGCGAAAGCUUGACGGAGCAACGCCGCGUGAGUGAUGAAGGUCUUCGGAUCGUAAAACUCUGUUAUUAGGGAAGAACAAAUGUGUAAGUAACUAUGCACGUCUUGACGGUACCUAAUCAGAAAGCCACGGCUAACUACGUG
rnacentral:rRNA from 1 species